rnacentral:ncRNA from 1 species
UCCCAGUAAGCGCGAGUCAUAAGCUCGCGUUUAUUACGUCCCUGCCCUUUGUUCACACCGCCCGUCGCUACUACCGAUUAAAUGAUUUAGUGAGGUCUUUGAACUGGUGCGCGGCAAUGUAAUUUUACGUUACCGAUUGUGCCGGGAAGAUGACCAAACUUGAUCAUUUAGAGGAAGUAAAAGUCGUAACAAGGUUUCCGUAGGUGAACCUGCGGAAGGAUCAUUA